CCUCGGGGGUCUCUAUCCUUAGGACAUCGCUCUUUGCCCGGGGACACCCCGGGUGGGGCCGGAAGCCCCGAAGAGGGGGGACCCGGGGUGUCACCGGGCAGAGGGCGAUGUGUCCCCCCCCCGUCGGUACCGCUCGUAGGGCGCCAUCUAGCGGCUCCCGGUGCGCUCCACCCCGCCCGGUACCGGAGGCGGCUCCUCCCCGAGCAGCCGCAGCCUCUUGCACAACCUCCUGGUACAGCGAAGCAUCGUGAUGGGCUUCUCCAGGCCAGCCGGUUCCCUUCAGAUCCAGCGUGUCCCAGCUCACUGCGGAG